AGGCGCUCCGUCCGCCUGGUGCCUUUUAUACUGCGCUCCCUCCGCCUCCCACCGGGUUUCCUCCUCCCCCUCGGCGCCGGAGCCCGCCCAGCCCUUUCCUCGCCGCUUGCGGAGCCCUCCGUCCUGGCGUUCGCACACAAGCCUUUCGCAAGUUUCCAAGCCCAUCUCGCACCCAGUGCCCCUGGGAUGGGUCCUCCCGAUUCUCCCUUGGUGACUGAUAUUAAAUAAAUAAACAAACCUUUCUCGCCGGCUUGACUUUCUCCCCCUCCGCCCGGAUUCUGCCCUCCUGCUCCCUGGGCUCCAAACUAAGGAAAUAUUCUUAAUUCAACGACUUUGAUUGAUUUUAUGAACAUCUUUAUGCGCAAGACACCUCAGCCAAGUCUUACCCAGAUUAAGACAAGACACACCUUCAUCAUUACGGAAGCUCCACAGUCACGGUGGCAUUUUGCAGAAUUUAAAUAGCAAUGGUUAAGCAAUACGUGAGGUGAGAUGGUCAAGAAUUCUGGUCCUUCUUCUACAUCUGGCCAUGAAACAUCCCUAACAGACACAAGCCACCACCUCGUCUCAGAUGCCAUAUAUGAAGGAAUUACUGCAAAGUGGGGUUGGAUGGAUUCUACUUACUAGCCAUGGAACCUCUUGGGCGAGUGAUUUGACCUCUUUGAGUCUGUUUCCUCACCUCUAACUUGGAGCUAAGAAUGUCUACUCUAGGGUGGUUGCGAAGUUCAAAUAUUACUCCCACAGUAGGACAAGCUCCAGGUGAGGUUGUGUCUGAAAGAAAGCGAAAACUGGUAAACUUGCAUACAGAAGUGAACUUAAUGACAGCAGUUCCUCAGCAGAAAAACAUGAACUGACAACUUAGAGUGCAGCGCCAGAGAUGUCUCCACUCAAAAGAGUUUUGUGACUGACUGGUUCUCACAUCUUUACUAAUAAACACAAGAUCUCGUCACCAAUGCUUGUGGCAGGAUUUCACAAUGAUUGGGGGUGGAGUACCUCAUUUGUGAGCCAGAUGUGUCUAAACUUAAAUCUGAAGAUUCUCACUUGGUAAACUCUAAACAGGAUGAUGAAAGUUACAUGAGAAAUGGCCUUGUGAAGGAAUAAGCAUGAAAGAACUGUUUACAUAUCCUUGGAGCUCAAAUUUGGGUGGUUGUUAUUUUACAAAGGGCAGGAUUUUCCUUUAUUUCCUGGUGUCUAACUUAGUUCUGAAAUCAUAGUUCAAUUUUAUGCAUAAGCAGCAAACAAA